UUUCCACCACACAUAGUAUGAAGACCCAGUAUCAAAUUAAAAUAAGUGGACAGUCCCAGACUUCAGUGACAAAGCGCCUUGAUUCCAGCAGUGAUUCCCCAGUCUGCUUUCGCUUUGGGUUUCCAUUGUGACCAUUAACUGCUGAAACUGAGCCCAGAGCCCAUGAUCACAAGAUCUGAAAGUCGAGGGAUCCUGAAGAGGAAGCAAGAGCUGAGAUGCCUGGUGAAGCAGGAAUCAUCCUGGAACUGUCAGGGUGGGAGUUGGAACACUAAGGAAGGUAGAGGAAAAAGGCAACAGAGCCUGGGGUGUUGACAGUACUGAGAGCUGCUGCACUGUCACCUGUCCAGAAAUGCUUGUUGGGUAAAAAGACUAAAGUUUAAUUUGGUUAACUCACAUUGGGCUUUCUGUUGCUUAUACCUAAGCCCAGUUUCCAACUGGUGCAUGAGGUGUGCAUGAGACUUCUUUGGAUUCCAUCAUCACUGCCCCCUUCGUGAUGCCAGUUAAACCUUACCUGAAUCCCCAUCUCAGAAAUAAGAUUUUCUUCCUUGUGUA